ensembl:lncRNA novel transcript
AACAUUCCAUGCAUCUGACACUCAGUGGGCUUGGCCAUGUCCUGGGCAUUAUUCUGACCUUUAAAUAACAAGCUCUUCAAUAUUCUGGAAAUAAUUUAAAAGCACGGAAAUAAUAAGUGCCACAGUAUAAUAGCAAACAUCCAAUACAACCUCAACCAUAUUCAUGUCCAUCUUCAUUCUCUCCCUCCUAUCUCAAGGAGGAAACUAUUGUGGUACAUUGCAAAUGGCCACAAAUUCUCUGCAGCAACUCUCACCAAGAUCUAGUUCCUUACUGUUUGGAUCUGGCUUAACCUUGUGGCUUGCUCUGCGCAACAGAAUGUAGCGGAAGUGAUGCUGGGUGAAUUCUGAGCCCAGGUUCAAUAGGCCUUGGAGUCUCUGCUCUCAUUCUCCUGGGACAGUGUUACCAGGUGAAGAAGCUUGGCUAGCUUGUUGGUGAGAUCACGUGGAUGAGAACCAAGACACCUGGCAAACAGCCUGCUGACCACUAAAUAUGUGGGUGAGGCCAUUGUAGACCACCCAGCCCUGAAUGACCUCCAGCUGACUUCAGCCUCCUAAGUGAGACCAGGUGAGACCCACAGAAGAACCUUUUGAGUGCACCUAGAUGUCUGACCAACAGACUCACGAGCUAAUAAAUGGUUUUUAAGUCAA